rnacentral:rRNA from 1 species
AUUGAACGCUGGCGGCAUGCUUUACACAUGCAAGUCGAACGGUAACAGGCCGCAAGGUGCUGACGAGUGGCGAACGGGUGAGUAAUGCAUCGGAACGUGCCCAGUCGUGGGGGAUAACUACUCGAAAGAGUAGCUAAUACCGCAUACGAUCUAUGGAUGAAAGCGGGGGACCGUAAGGCCUCGCGCGAUUGGAGCGGCCGAUGUCAGAUUAGGUAGUUGGUGGGGUAAAGGCUCACCAAGCCAACGAUCUGUAGCUGGUCUGAGAGGACGACCAGCCACACUGGGACUGAGACACGGCCCAGACUCCUACGGGAGGCAGCGGUGGGGAAUUUUGGACAAUGGGCGCAAGCCUGAUCCAGCAAUGCCGCGUGCAGGAAGAAGGCCUUCGGGUUGUAAACUGCUUUUGUACGGAACGAAACGGCUCUGGUUAAUACCCGGGGCUAAUGACGGUACCGUAAGAAUAAGCACCGGCUAACUACGUG